rnacentral:rRNA from 1 species
UACGAAGGGGGCUAGCGUUGUUCGGAUUUACUGGGCGUAAAGCGCACGUAGGCGGAUCGUUAAGUCGGGGGUGAAAUCCUGGAGCUCAACUCCAGAACUGCCUUCGAUACUGGCGAUCUUGAGUCCGGAAGAGGUGAGUGGAACUCCUAGUGUAGAGGUGGAAUUCGUAGAUAUUAGGAAGAACACCAGUGGCGAAGGCGGCUCACUGGUCCGGUACUGACGCUGAGGUGCGAAAGCGUGGGAGCAAACAGGG